rnacentral:rRNA from 1 species
UUGAACGCUGGCGGCAUGGCUAAAACAUGCAAGUCGAACGAACCCGCAAGGGUGAGUGGCGAAAGGGUCAGUAACGAGAUCGAACGUGCCCCGAGGUGGGGGAUAGGUCGCCGAAAGGCGGCGUAAUACCCCAUGAUGUCUCCGGACCAAAGGCUUGUCCGCCUUGGGAGCGGCGAUCUUCCUAUCAGCUAGUUGGCGGGGUAACGGCCCACCAAGGCGAAGACGGGUAGCGGGUGUGAGAGCACGGCCCGCGACAUCGGGACUGAGACACUGCCCGGACUCCUACGGGAGGCUGCAGUAACGAAUCUUCCGCAAUGGGCGCAAGCCUGACGGAGCAAUGCCGCGUGUGGGAUGAAGCGGCUUCGCCGUGUAAACCACUGUCAGGGGGCAGAAACAAUGAUCACCCCCAAAGGAAGAGCCGGCUAACCCUGU